CAGAGACACAGCCCGAGGGAGAAGCAGGCUCCCUGCAAGGAGUCCGAUGGGGGACCCGAUCCCGAAUCCCAGGAUCACGCCCUGAGCCGAGGGCAGACGCUCAACUGCUGAGCCACCCAGGCAUCCCAUAGAUAGAAGUUUCUAUUGUUAUAACUAUUUCUACUGGUGUGACGUAUAAGGGACUUUGAUGUAUUUUGUUCACUGCUAUAUGGCUGGUACCUAGAGCAGCACUUGGUGGAUGCUCAAUACAUAUUUAUUGAGUUAAUAAAUUAAUGGAUUUUUCUUUUUCAUCAUCCUAAAAUACACUGAAAAAUACUUAACCAAAGUAGUUGGAAUAGAGUGGAUCUUUUUGAUUCCUUACAAGGAGAAGGCAUGGUGGGAUUAUAUAAUUCAGACCAUUAAAAUUCAUGAAAGCAUUCAGACUGGGUGAGAAGAUACUUCACCUCAAUUUGAUGUCUCUAAAUUUUCAUACCAGGAGAGAGGAGGAGGGGCACAAAGUGUGGGAGCCUGAUUAUGUGAAACAGUGUUUCAGAUGUGUGUCUCUGGGAGAUAAUGACUGAGAAGACACUGACCCACAUGAUUGGCAACAUAACACUGAAAUUAAUAUUUCCAAGCAUUCUUCAUAUAGUCUUUCGGUCUCACAACAAAUAUGAGAGUGGUUUCUAUUACUCUUCUCAUUUUACAAAUGUGGAAAUUGAGCUUUCAAGAUAUAACCUGUCCAAAGUCCCACACCUGAUGAUUGGAAGAGCCCCGGCCUGAAGGUCCUUGACGAAUAAGGUCACAUUGGGUAAAUCCUGCUUUUGUUCCUUUAGCAUUUAGCUGUGCUGCAGUUCCUUCUCUGCCCCUCACCUUUUGCAGCCUUUUCCCCUUCUUGUUAAGGACAUUGUGCUAAUGUUGAAAUGUCAUUAUGGGCCUUGAGUUAAUAAAGGGCAUCUUUUCUAGUGUCCAAAACAACAUAUUUCCUGGGUCUUUGAAGGAAGUAAUGAUGACUGGAACCAAAGUCCCAGAAUUUUCCACAAGCCACUACAGAUGUCUGGGAGAGCUGCAUUUGAGGACCUUCACCUGUGCAUGUCUGAACCAGAAUGUUGAGUGUCUGGGUGCUGAGCAACGGACAUGGCGCUGACAAGGAGUCGGCAGCAGGGCCCACCUAACCGGAUAAUUGGAACGAGGAGAGCAGCAAUUGAGCUGCCACUACGUCUGGACUCUCCUGCCAGGGAUUCUUCAAGAAAAGCUGUGAAAUGUGACACUAGAAGCCGUGGCUUGUAAUAGGCGGUGGAGUGUAAUCACAAUUCUUUUGGAGUCUCGUGGGUGAGGAAAUCCUUCUUUGCCAGGUAAAAGAAGAGGAUGUAGAUCUAAGAGGACUUCUCUGCAUUAUCCCGGGGAGUCCCUCUGAAUCAAAUAGGAAAGGGAAAGAUGGGAUAGAGAGGAGGCCCAGUAGCCAAGACAGAAGCCGACUGGGGUCAGCUUUCCAUCCCAGGGAGGAGCCCACCACUAGCAGUGGUUCAGCACAUAGAUCCCAGGAUCCUGUGCCUGGCCGGGAUACAGGCUAUCUCUGUUCGGCUGAGCUGGAUUUGCAGGCAGAACGCGUGUGUUUGGCAGCCCCCCCCCCACCCCCUUGUGUCUGAAGAGAAGCCUCAGAGCCANNNNNNNNNNNNNNNNNNNNNNNNNNNNNNNNNNNNNNNNNNNNNNNNNNNNNNNNNNNNNNNCAGCCCCCCCCCCACCCCCUUGUGUCUGAAGAGAAGCCACUCAGAGCCAUCUGGGUGGAGAGGACAUUCUGGGGAUUUCCAGGCCUGAGGUCUUCCCAGGUACUCGGUGCCAACCCAGGUAACAGCGUCGGCUGCCUGUGUGGGGGAGAGAGCCUGAGCAGAGGGAUUCAGGUGUGCAGGUGCUCACUGCCUUCCUGUGAGGUAUACUACUGCUCACACAUUGUGUUGCUAGCUCUGAAGACUCCGUUCAUAGGAGAGGGAUUUGGCUGAUGUUUAGAAGCCGUCCCCACCCUAGGCUGGAAGGCACACCUGUAAUUAGGGGAGAGACUCCAGUGAUCAGGGCUGUCUUUAAGAGUGUUGGGGAUUUCCCUCCCUUCCGGGUCUGGUUAUCUGGCUGGAUUUGCAAUCUACCCACACAGUCUUGCUUAACCCAUUGAUAUACCUGUGGGGCAACAGAAAAAAAAAAUGGAGCAGGGCAUCAGAAGAUCUGUGUUCAUGUCCACAGUCCAUAACUUCUUGUGUGGCCUCCCUUUUUCUCACUUGUUAAGACAUGGUCAUAACACCUGCCCUUACUUCCUGCAGGUUGCAUAAAAAUAAAACAUAAUAAUGUAAAUAAAAGGACUUGGAU
ensembl:lncRNA